UUAAUACAAAUUUCAAUAAUAUUUUGUUUUCUUAAGUUUUGUAAUUAAUUAAAUAUAAAAAAUAUUUUUUCAAAUAAUUUAAAAAAAAUUUCUUUCUAUAAUUCUAUAUAAAAAAUAUUCAUAUUAAAAAAGUGAUUAUAAUAAGAGAAUAAGAAAAUAAUAUAAAAUAUUAUAAAAUUUUUUCGCGAAAAAUUUUUUUUUUCGCAAGAAAUUUCCCAAGGACUUAUUAGUAUGUUUUGCGAAAAUAUAUGUAAAAGUAUGUCACAAACAUAAAUGUCAAUAUAUUCAACUUUCUUCGAAGGAACAAUGUAUAAAAUAAAAGGUACUUCAUGUAAACUUUAGUUUUCAAGGUUCAGAAAGUAAUAAAGAAAUGAGAAGUCGAUUGCGAAAAAUUUGUUUAGUGCAGCUGCAAAGUUCAGAUGCAAGGCGCGAAACAGUGUAAUCACGUGGUGGCUGUGUACAAAUAUCUGUAUCUCCGGCGUGGUGUUUUCUACGCACGUCUGGUCGCGUGUGAGUGAGAGUAUAAAUAAACGAGGAUAGUCGUAUUAUCUGCGACGUGCAUAACUAUUGUGUACGAUGCCCGUAGUUCUGAGAUUGAGACCUAACAAUUUAACGUUUAAUGCCCGUCGCAUCGUUUACUCCAUUUGUCAAAACAAAGAAAGCUUUUGCUUUCUGUACAGAAUUACGAGAGAUUUUUAAUUUGAUUUCUAUAUAUAUAUAUAAAAAAAAAGAAGAAAAUAUUUGAAUUCAAUUAACCGUAUAUUUUUCAUUAAUUUAUAUAUUUCACUUUCAGAAAAUAAAAUUUUUGAUAAUUUAGUAUUUAGCAAAUAUAUAUUUCUUUUAUCUAAAAAAAACUUUUUAUUAAAAAAAUAAUAUGUUAUGAAUAUUAUAUACUUACUUAUUAUAUAGUUAAAUUAUUAAAUGCCUGAUUCAUAAUAUUCUAUUUAUGUAUAAAUCUUUCUGGAAACAAUGGCUCGUUUAAUUUUCUUCAUUGUAUAUUAUUAAGAUUAAUUUUAUAAUUAUCAUAUAAUAUUUAUUUUUUAAUCUCUUGUUUAAAUUUGCUAUAGAUAAGAUAAUAAAAUCUUUACGACAAUAUUUUUAUUAAAUAAAUCGAGAAUUAUUGAAAAAAAAUUACAAUUCUUUAAAAUUCUUGUAUUAUAAUUGUAAUAAAGCGUUUUGGAAAAUUUCUAUGUUUAACAAAUAUUUUUCAAUGAGUCAUCUUGAUUAAUUUCUAUUAGAUUUAAAUACAGUUCUCAUAUUUUAAUAUGGAGGUUUAACAUAUUUAAAUCUCUCUAAUCUUUGAAUUCAGCCAAUGAAAUUAGGAGUUCCAGAUGCACGCUGCGACACGUUCGCGUAAUGCUUCAACAGAUACUAAUAUCGCAGCCAUUUAUCCGUAUGCGUGCAAAUAUCAUUCUUCAGUAGCAUUCACGACACGCUCGAGCGUUAUAGACGCUGAAUAUCGUAUCGUAUAAUAACGUCUAAAUAUUCAUCUCUUCUAUUACUGCUCUUAGUCAUAUGAAAUAUAAAUGUUCAGAUUUCCAGGAUUGGGUUAAAGAUUUUGAUUGAAAAUUCAACCUUGAAGCCCGAAAGCAAUCAAGGAUAUCCAGAAAGAAUACAAGUACCUGUCGGAUAUUACAGAAACAGGAAAACGAGAAAAAAAUCUUCGUGGUUUCG